rnacentral:rRNA from 1 species
UUCCUACGGGGGGCAGCAGUGGGGGAUAUUGCACAAUGGGGGAAACCCUGAUGCAGCGACGCCGCGUGAGUGAAGACGGCCUUCGGGUUGUAAAGCUCUGUCAAUCGGGACGAAGAAGAUGACGGUACCGAUGAAGGAAGCUCCGGCUAACUACGUGCCAGCAGCCGCGGUAAUACGUAGGGAGCAAGCGUUGUCCGGAAUUACUGGGUGUAAAGGGAGCGUAGGCGGGAGCGCAAGUCAGAUGUGAAAACUCAGGGCUCAACCCUGAGCCUGCAUUUGAAACUGUGUUUCUUGAGUGCUGGAGG